rfam:Ictidomys tridecemlineatus contig091297, whole genome shotgun sequence.
GGGGUUGUAGCUCAGUGGUAGAUCACUUGCUUUGCAUGCAUGAGGAACUGAGUUUGAAUCUCAGCAGCACAU